rnacentral:rRNA from 1 species
UACGGGGGGGGCAAGCGUUGUUCGGAAUUACUGGGCGUAAAGGGCUCGUCGGCGGCCAACUAAGUCAGACGUGAAAUCCCUCGGCUUAACCGGGGAACUGCAUCUGAUACUGGAUGGCUCGAGUUUGGGAGAGGGAUGCGGAAUUCCAGGUGUAGCGGUGAAAUGCGUAGAUAUCUGGAGGAACACCGGUGGCGAAGGCGGCAUCCUGGACCAACACUGACGCUGAUGAGCGAAAGCCAGGGGAGCAAACGGG